rnacentral:rRNA from 1 species
AGAGUUUGAUCCUGGCUCAGAACGAACGCUGGCGGCAUGCCUAACACAUGCAAGUCGAACGAGACCUUCGGGUCUAGUGGCGCACGGGUGCGUAACGCGUGGGAAUCUGCCCUUGGGUUCGGAAUAACUCGCCGAAAGGCGUGCUAAUACCGGAUGAUGUCGUAAGACCAAAGAUUUAUCGCCCAGGGAUGAAGCCCGCGUAAGAUUAGCUAGUUGGUGAGGUAAAGGCUCACCAAGGCGACGAUCUUUAGCUGGUCUGAGAGGAUGAAGGAUGAUCAGCCACACUGGGACUGAGACACGGCCCAGACUCCCUACGGGAGGGCACCAUGGGGGAAUAUGGGACAAUGGGCGAAAGCCUGAUCCAGCAAUGCCGCGUGAGUGAUGAAGGCCUUAGGGUUGUAAAGCUCCUUUUUCCCCGGGAAUGAUAAUGACAGUACGCGGGGAGAAAUAAGUCUCCGGCUAACUCCGUUGCCCAGCAGCCCGCGGUAAUACGGAGGGGAGCUAGCGUUUGUUUCGGAAUUUACUGGGCGUAAAGCGCACGUAGGCGGCUUUUGUAAGUCAGAGGUGAAAGCCUGGNGCUCANCUCCAGANUGCCUUUGAGACUGCAUCCGCUUGGAAUUCCAGGAGAGGUGAGUGGAAUUUCCGAGUGUAGAGGUGAAUUCGUAGAUAUUCGGAAGAACACCANNGGGCGAAGGCGGCCUCAACNUGGAACUGNNUUUGAACGCUGAAGUGCGAAGCGUGGGGAGCAAACAGGAAUUAGAUACUCUNGNAGUCCCACCGCCGUANNCGAUGAUNNUAGCUUGUC